ensembl:lncRNA
AUGUCACGAGGGGGUGGGCAGGGGAGAACCUACAGUUUCAGUCUGAAUGCUGGCCAGAGGCUCUACAAGAUAGCUGAAGCUGUUACGUACCCUCGUGAGCGUCUUCCUCCGGUCCCGAGCCAUCACUGGAGGCUGUGGUGUGAGCUGCCCGUUGCCACCCCAAACGCUUGGAAGGAAGCACUAACCAGGGAGGCAGGAUUGGCCCUUCCAGUGUUACGGGCGCGUGGGGAUGGCGCACACCCUGCCCUGCGCUUACAGCUGUUAAAGGACCAUUGGGGCUAUUUUUAUCACCGUUUCCUGAAAAGCCACUUCAGCGCUGCUCAGUUAGCGCUGAGAAACAUCGUUCCCCCGGGAGAAACCUACCCCAGGGCAUUGGGAUUCGCAGCCAGCCCCUGCGUGGAGCCAAGCGAGGCAGAGCCUCGCACGCAUUCUUGGCGCGAGGAGGAGGGUCCCUGCUGCGAGGUAGAGAGGGGAAAAAUCGGUUCCACCCCGAGGAGCUGUGGAAAGCAGCUGCUCACCGUGGAGGCGAGCGUAAGCAAGCCCUGCCGGUGCCAGAGCUGGCAGCGUGCGAGGCCAAGGGGUGACAUCAGGGAACGUGGGGACGGUGCCUUCGCCUUGGCGGGCAGCGAGAGCCCCUCGAUGGGAUUGCUCGCUUUGAAGCGGUGCCUUGCAGGCAGGAGGAAGCUUUUCUGCCCGAGCAGCAAACGGGAGCUCGCUGCGAGCUCCCCGGGGGCAAGCACACGCCUGCUGCCACCAGCUCUGCUCACCCACCCUUUGGGAGCUCCCAGAGGGGCUCUGUGCUGAGCCCAGCCCCGUGCCCUCACCCCACAGCCUCUGUGCAGGGUUUAAACAAACCCUCCUGUGUGUCCCCCCCCCGGGGCUGCUCCUGCUGGGAGCGGGGCUGGCUGCAGCCAGACUGCAAGCGGGGUGCUGGAGGGGGGUGCGUUGUGGGGUCACCGACGGUACCAGCCUGGAACAGCAGCACUCCACCUGGGGAGGCUUCCUUGGGACAUCACAGCCAGCAGGACAAAGGACAGGUGCCUCUGUGCUGCUGCUUCCACUUUUUAACCAGAAUCUGCGAUUCUGAGCAGCCAAGGUGAGCGCGCCCAGCACCAGGCAGCCCCCAUCCUGUGCAGCGCCUGUCCCCCAGCAGUGACCCAAGCUGGGUGCGGGGCCAGGCAGGCACCUCUGCUGCAGCUGGCACCCUCCUCAUAGCGCUCAUCCCUCUUCCCCAGCCCCUUCGGCAGCUCCCAGCGAGAGCAGCUCGCGCUUCCCCUGCCUAAAACCACCCCCCGCUGCCUCCAGCCCUCUCUCCCAGCUCCCGUCCCCAGCGGGAGCUGGGCUGCAGUCCGUCCCCUCUGCCGCCCGGGCCCUACUAUUUACAAAAGCUGCAUUCAGCUCUCCGCGAGCCCACGCUCACUUUUUCCAGUAAGCCUUUCUGCAGGAGUUGGCCGAGGACCCGGCCCUUCCCUGCGUGAGCGGCCGGGGCCCGGUGCCACGGAGAACCGCGGGGCGAAGCGGCGCAGGCAGGCAGCGCGCGGGAGGAAGAGCGCUGGGUUGACAGGAGUCGGCUCUAUUUAAAACAUUUAAUGCAAAUAUGUUUUGACAAGUCCUGUCGUUGUUUCCAGCCAGAGCUGGAGAUGCGUGUUUCCCUCCCUUAAAAACAGAACAAGGCCCGGAGAGCCAAAACAUCAAUUUGUGACUUCUUCUCUCACUCCUUCCCUCCUUGUCACCCUCUCCCCCUGCCUCCACCCCACCAGUCCCUGGGUGGAAGCUCCUGCCUCCAGCCUUCAGGAGAACACCA